rnacentral:rRNA from 1 species
UAGCUAGCGACAGGCCUAACACAUGCAAGUCGAGGGGCGAGACACAAGGAGCAAUCUGAGUGGCGACCGGCGCACGGGUGAGUAACACGUAUGCAACCUGCCUGUAAGCGGGGAAUAACCCGUUGAAAGACGGACUAAUACCGCAUAAUACUAAAUUACUGCAUGGUAAUUUAUUUAAACAUUUAUGGCUUACAGAUGGGCAUGCGCAUGAUUAGCUAGUUGGAGAGGUAACGGCUCCCCAAGGCAACGAUCAUUAGGGGUUCUGAGAGGAAGGUCCCCCACACUGGUACUGAGACACGGACCAGACUCCUACGGGAGGCAGCAGUGAGGAAUAUUGGUCAAUGGACGAGAGUCUGAACCAGCCAAGUCGCGUGCAGGAAGAAUGUCCUUAAUGGAUUGUAAACUGCUUUUGCAGGGGAAUAAAGUGCAUCACGUGUGAUGUUUUGUAUGUACUCUGCGAAUAAGGAUCGGCUAACUCCGUGCCAGCCGCUGC